CAGGUCUUCAGAGCCAGGUUCUCCUGUGGCACAGACAUCCCAACUCAUCCGCUACUGACUGCCCUCCCAUGCCCAAGCUUUCUUCCCAGGGCUGGUUCAGGAUUCUGUUGAGCAUGGUUGAGUGUGGUGACAUAUCCCUGGGCUUCAAGAGGCCAGUCCUGGACAGGAGAGCACAAACAACUCCUGCAGGCUGGAAAGCCUUUCCCAGUAAUUCCCAAACACAGAAAUAUGUGCCUGCAAUGUGGCGCUUUUUAGAAUGGCAUCCACUCAGAUGGUGGAGGAUCCAUCACAGCCCGGGCCCUCCCUGCUCCAAGGGCCCAUUUGUUUCCCCUUAUCACAGUCUCAUUAUUUGGUAAAGGAAAAUCUUGGACUUUCUUGGGACCAGUGUCUGUGGUUUUAGGAGAACCUGGCUCCCAGUUGAUGGAGCACAAGUGUUCCCACAGAGAGCACCCCGUUAGUGAUCCAUGGCAUGGACCUCAACUCCAAAGCUUUGAGAUACUGGAGCACAGCCCACGGGUUGGGAGGGAAUAGUUGCAGCUUGGCUUCUCCUCUCUGACCACCAGCCAGCUCCCUAUCUCAGGAUGGAUCCAACAGGAGCACAGGAACUCACAUCCAAGAAGCCCCGGUGCUCUGCCAGGGCCACACAGAUGCCUUAUCCAGCCUGGGAAUGGGAGUACUGCCAUGAAACUUGACAGAGUAAUCACUAAUACCAACAAAUAGCUGAAAUAGGUGGUUUCUGAACAGCUGAGCUAGAAAAUGAUGUUCCUGUGGACCAUCCAGCUGCGAGACAGGGACAGAAGUGAAAACAAUUGAUUUAAGAAGUUAAUUGUGAGCAGAGGAGGAGGCCAGUGUCAGUGGUGCAGGGAAGACACAAGAAGCAAACAAACCCUACAGCAAAGUCGAACUUAAACAUCCACAGAAGACAUGCAAAUGCAGACGUUUGCUCAAUGAAGGGGCCUCUGGAUUGUUCCUAAUGAGCUCUAAUGCGAAGAGGAAAUUAAAGAGCUCUGUUUUGGGCUCUGUCUGUGCUGUGCUGUGUGCUGACGGGAGGAGGACUGCACCAAAGAGGAGCGUUCCUGCUCCCAGCCUGACAGAUGGGACUCGUCGGGGUUUUAGUUUGUCAGAGUGUUCUUGUUUGUUAGGCAAAGCAAACAACUGAUCCAACCCAACUCAAACGUGAAGCAGAGGAGGAGCCUGGGUUUACUUCUUGAGUGAGUGGUUUUAAAAGGUUUUGCUUUCUGAAAGGGGCUUCCAAGGUGGCCCCAUCUGAGACCAUUUCUUCUUUUGAAAUAGAAACGUCCGGUUUGCUAGGCCAUAAUACUUUUCGGUUUGAAUUGUAAGCGAAGUAUAGCAUGAAUGGGGCUUCUUUGCCGAAGGUUUGGGAGAAUUGAAACCAAAUGUUUAAACACUAUAUGUCCCAGCCCCUUGGCUUGCCUGAGCUCCAACGGCUGUUGUUCCUUUCAGCUCUAACCGAUAUUGAAACUCUGAUGUUUAUCCCCGUAUGACUUGGAAAUUGUUCACAACUUUUAGGCAUUUUUCAGGAGCUCCAGACCUGUUCCUCAUGUAUAUUUACGCUGGCAGCUGCUGUCUAAAGGACAGCUUCAGCUCCUCAAAAAGCAGAAGCAUAUGAUAAUUUUCUCUUUAGGAAAGCUGGUAAAACACGGAGUGUCAA